rnacentral:rRNA from 1 species
CCUACGGGGGGCAGCAGUGGGGAAUAUUGCACAAUGGGCGAAAGCCUGAUGCAGCAACGCCGCGUGAAGGAAGAAGGGUUUCGGCUCGUAAACUUCUAUUAACAGGGACGAAAGAAAUGACGGUACCUGAAUAAGAAGCCCCGGCUAACUACGUGCCAGCAGCCGCGGUAAUACGUAGGGGGCAAGCGUUAUCCGGAAUUACUGGGUGUAAAGGGCGCGUAGGCGGGAUGGCAAGUCAGAUGUGAAAUCCAGGGG